UGUAUGGUCAAGCGAGUAAGCGCAUACGGUGGAUGCCUUGGCAGUUGGAGGCGAUGAAGGACGUAGGAGCCUGCGAUAAGCUUCGGGGAGGUGGCAAACACCCUUUGAUCCGAAGAUUUCCGAAUGGGGAAACCCACCCGCCAUAAGGCGGGUAUCAUGCACUGAAUACAUAGGUGUAUGAAGCGAACCCGGAGAACUGAAACAUCUAAGUACCCGGAGGAAAAGAAAUCAACCGAGAUUCCCUCAGUAGCGGCGAGCGAACGGGGAGCAGCCUGCAAGUGAUAGCAGAAGUUAGUGGAACGGUCUGGAAAGUCCGGCGAUAGAGGGUGAUAGCCCCGUACACGAAAACUUCUCUGUGGUACUAAGCUUGCGACAAGUAGGUCGGGACACGAGUUAUCUUGACUGAACAUGGGGGGACCAUCCUCCAAGGCUAAAUACUACCAACUGACCGAUAGUGAACUAGUACCGUGAGGGAAAGGCGAAAAGAACCCCGGAGAGGGGAGUGAAAUAGAACCUGAAACCGUAUGCGUACAAGCAGUGGGAGCACCUUCGGGUGUGACUGCGUACCUUUUGUAUAAUGGGUCAGCGACUUAUUUUCUGUAGCAAGCUUAACCGUAUAGGGGAGGCGUAGGGAAACCGAGUCUUAAUAGGGCGCAUAGUUGCUGGGAAUAGACCCGAAACCAGGCGAUCUAUCCAUGGCCAGGUUGAAGGUGCCGUAACAGGCACUGGAGGACCGAACCCACUAACGUUGAAAAGUUAGGGGAUGAGCUGUGGAUCGGAGUGAAAGGCUAAUCAAGCCCGGAGAUAGCUGGUUCUCCUCGAAAUCUAUUUAGGUAGAGCGUCGUGUCUUACCCUGGGGGGUAGAGCACUGUUUCGGCUAGGGGGUCAUCCCGACUUACCAACCCGAUGCAAACUCCGAAUACCGAGGAGUGCAAUCAUGGCAGACAGACGGCGGGUGCUAACGUCCGUCGUCAAGAGGGAAACAACCCAGACCGCCAGCUAAGGUCCCAAAUAACAGUUAAGUGGGAAACGAUGUGGGAAGGCUUAGACAGCUAGGAGGUUGGCUUAGAAGCAGCCACCCUUUAAAGAAAGCGUAAUAGCUCACUAGUCGAGUCGGCCUGCGCGGAAGAUAUAACGGGGCUAAAACUGAUAACCGAAGCUGUGGAUGCGCACUUUAUGCGCAUGGUAGCGGAGCGUUCUGUAGGCCGUUGAAGGUGAAUCGUAAGGUUUGCUGGAGGUAUCAGAAGUGCGAAUGCUGACAUGAGUAACGAUAAGGGGGGUGAAAACCCCCCCCGCCGGAAGAUCAAGGUUUCCUGCGCAACGCUAAUCGGCGCAGGGUUAGUCG
rnacentral:rRNA from 1 species